CGGAAAAGCCUGCACCUGUGGUUGAAGAGGAGGUCGUCGCUGUUGAAGCUGAGAAACCUAAGGAAACUGGGGAAGUGAAAAUUGCCCAAUCCGUUUCUUUUAAGGAAGAGACUAAUGUUGUUGGGGAACUCCCUGAGUCUCAAAAGAAAGCCCUUGAUGAGUUAAAACAGCUCAUCCAAGAAGCACUUAAUAAGCAUGAGUUCACUACCCCGCCGCCGCCCCCG
rnacentral:misc_RNA from 1 species